CCACACUUGGCCGCAAGUCCUCCUCAGCUGGCUGUACGGAAGAGAGUGUCUGGGAUCUUUUUCUGCGACAGAGACAAGGAGCAGGAGGGUGGGAUGAUUGUUGGAGUGAAAUUCCACUCUGCAAAGACCAGACCAUGACUUCCUGCCAAGGUUAGGGAGUAUUUUUCCAACACAUGAAGCAACGUCCCCCAUGAGCGUCACGUCAUUAAGCACACUGGUGAAACAACAAGGGGCACUGAUGCUGGCACCACCCACAUAUCCUGCAAUUCACUGGAAACUCCUGUUUUUCUUGCAUUCAGUCCAGACGUCAUGCAGCAAUAUUUAUCUUAAAUAAAGCCAAUAAUUGUCUA